UUUCUAUUAAAAAAAUGUUUGACUCAAUUCAAACUUACUACAAGGACACCACAGGCUAAAAUGAUUGAUGAACUUUGCAAUUAGCUCAUACAAUAAAUAUAUAUUUAUGUGUAUCUUUGGAUAUAAAUAAAUAAAUUAAAUAAAUAAAUAGUUAUACGGGUCAUUUAACUUCCCUUCAAGAGUGACUCUAAUUUAAUUUGGUAUUUUAUCCUAGAAUUUUAAAGUUCCAAAAAAUAAAAACAUUUAAAUUACACCCUUUUGUACGAGCUGUUAUGUAGUAAAACAUUUUUUUAAAUACAUUCUGCAGAUCCAAAAGAGCGUUUUGCUUCAUGGGAGCCCAUAAAACACACAGGAGCAGCUGGAGCAUUGUUUAUGAUUUUUCUGCAAGCUUUGCUUCCCAAACCCCAAUAAAUGUAGACGUGAUCCAUAAACACACUUAAAAAAAAAUUCUGAUUUUGGUUAUAAAAUUCGUCACUGAACUUGCUGGGUGAUUUACGCACACAAGUUUUGGUUUAUGCAUGACUGCACGCUGGGGUAGAAUUUCCUUUUUUAUUAUUUUUUUUUUUUAUUUUUUUCGAGCAGAAAUUAAGGCACAAAUGUUCGCGUUUUGAGUUAAUAACUGUUGACUUAUAGUUCCUUUAUCACUUUAAAGGCUGACGAUAUCUCAGACUCGGUAAGAAGAAUAAGGCUUGAGGGUGAGGAGGGAGGGAGGGGGCAUCAGAGACCCUCUCUUUCCCUCUAAAACAAAGACGCUUUGUCAUAAACUGGGUUAUUUUACAAAAAGGAGUCAAGGGGCGGCAUAUGUGGUCUUAACGGGUCAGAGGUCAAACAUCCAUGAAACGCAAGGUCGCCGAAGCCACACAAGUAACCUUCCAGCGUGUCAACAUAUUGAUACUGUCGGGCCAACAGAGAGGAGGAACGGUCCUUAUAAUAACGCAGCCGGAGCGCCCCUUAUGUGAUCAAGAUUGCAGGUUUUAUUGAUGGCGUUUCCCCCGCACGCAGUGCUGAGGCUGUCACUGCGUUCCGUGAGCUCUCACUUCCCAUUUUGACUCACAUUUCCAGUGAUUUAUGGUACUACAUCUGCAGAACGGCUCUCAAUGUGUAAUAUAGUGCCUCUAAUAACCUGUUGAAAUACUGCUCUUUGGGGGGAUUUUGCAAUGGGCCAGACCCUCUUUUUUUUCUCCUUCUUCUUCUUUCUUUUCCUUCAGCUAGAAGAGAGCUGCAGCCUUCCCCUAUUGAUUUUUUUCCCCUUUUUCUUCUUCUUUUUUUAAUUUUCUUUAUGCCUUUCUCUCUAUCUGGGGAAUGCUCCCUGGUUAUCCCACAAAAAUAAAGAACUUCUUAUAGGGGUCGGCAGACGUGACUUUGAACUUGGAUCAGCUCCUGCGUUUCCUGUGGCGCGGGUUGAAAUAGACUUGGGAGAAUGGCGCACACACAGCGGCCCCAGCCUCCCCCCGUUAACAUCGAGCCAGGAGACACAAUUUUUAAGAAGAAAAAAAAAGUAAAAAAAAAAAAAAAAAAAACUUUCCCUAGGCUUUCACCGUUAUUUGUCGCCCAGAGUCCGUAGAGUCGAGACUGACAGAGGGCUCCUCUGUGGUGAACGGGACAAGGGAGCCUGCGUGGAUUUUUAUGUGGUGAAAAUGGCGAAGGUGAUGAAAGCCCUUAGGGGAAGAGAACUAACCAAUUGAAAGCCAUUUAAAGAAGAGAAAGCUGCAGCCUCGCUUCUAGGGGAGCUGACCUGGGCAGCAGCGCAGAGACCGAGCGGGGGCCCCCGGCAUCCGACUGAACGAAGCACUGGACAAAGAAGAAAAGACRACUGAGGACAUAUGCAAUCUUCUUUUUGGUGUUUUUUUAAGCACUUCAAUCUGAACUUUAAAAGUUAGAUUAAUUAAAACAUUUKUAUCUUGAGAUUCUUAAAUCUGUAUAAUUAGAUGUGAUUUGUAAGCACAUCUAAUUAUUGCUAUUUUCUAAAUGUAACUUGUGUUUUUUUGUUGUUGUUYUGUUUUGUUUUUUUCUGGCGUAAGUGUAAAGUUCAGCUUGGAGUUGUUACCUUUUUGCUCCAAGAAAGUUUCAUGUGGGGAGAAAAACAUAAAAAAAUUUAAAAAAUCACUUUAUAUUUAGAAAAGUCACACAAAUUAUUAAUGGCCUGUUUUUGCCUCCUCUGAUAUUUGAAUGCUAUCAAAUUAACACUUCCUGAAGAAGCAGGGGUUGUAUUAAGAAUCCCAAGUUCCCCACCAAGCUGAGGUGAGAAAAUAUUCCAGGGGGCAGUUUGAUAAUAACCAGGGACAGARGGUAAAACUAUUCCCUCACUCAAGUUUCUCAGGGUGAAUUAAUUAGGUAAGGGAAGCAGUGAGAUAUGAACUACUAUAUAUAAUUUACACCGCACCUCCUGCAAGACGAACUGCAAUUUGAGGUAAGGAAAACCCCGAUGAAAGAUAAUGAUUUUAAUCAAAAAGAAAGUGUUGGGUGACAUUAGUCAUGUAAAUCAUAUUUCUGUAACACAUCCUGGGAAGUUUUAAAGUCAAGUAAAAUAGUUAAUAUUCCUGCGCUGGCUGUGUCAAAAAUUAGGAUCCAUCUUGCGCCGCUGUGAUGUAUAGAUGAGUUAAUUAAGCACAUCGAUUGGGGCCGAAUUGAUGCAGCGUGUGGAUUUUUAAUUAGUGCAUGCUUGAGUGUGUUAAAACUCUUGUGGGCUAUCUGAGUGGAACCAAGUGGAACUGAGCGUGUCAGUACAGAACACGGCUCGGCGUACCCCAAACAAAACCCWGACUGCCACCGAUUCUCUUUCAAAACCCUUCAGUUGCUCCCUCGGACUGUCUCUUUGACUUAAAAAUAAUCCGCCAUUUUAGGGUUGCAUUUAGAGGGUGGGGGAUAACACCCCCAUGCGGUUGCCCAACCUCGAACCUCUUAAAGGGGAGCUCAUUUAGCCCUACAAAGGAUACUCACUCUUGAAAGUACGUUUCAUGCCCCAUGUCUUAAAACCCACCUCUGUGUUCCCAUUUGAUGAUUUGCAGUAUUAUGUAGACUUCAUCUGCUAUAAAGACAGAUUUUUUUUUUUUUUUAAAGAAUUUGUAUUUGACUUYAUCUCAGGCCUUCUUAUCAGGGCAGGUGCCGUUUCAUCCACAUGUGGAAAAGUAUCUUGUGUCCACCUGUGUAUUUGGGUAACACCGUCAGUCCAUUAGUUUGUGUGUUUGACGUCUGUAUGCYGUCCACCUGUCAUAAUAGUCCGUUUGUCCAGCUGCUGCUGAACUGCUUAUUUUCCCUCUUAGAGGCCCUCUCGGGUCCAGAUGAGACAGCCUGCAGCUAGCUGGGCCCCUCUGUCGCACACAUCCAUGGAGCUCCACAGGGACGCAGGCUAAAGAACGGGACUCCUCAAUCGUCACGUGUUAACGUCCGAAUCGGAUUUCGAGAUGAGGUCAAAGAUCUGGUAGAGUUAAUGAAGAGCAAAGUUGUUUUGCUUAUGCUUUUUUAUAAGUUAUAAAUAAAAGAAAUGGAAACAUG